rnacentral:tRNA from 1 species
AGCCCUGUGGUGAGACACAUCGGAUUGCAAAUCCGAAGACGUAGAUUAAUACUCUGCCGGGGCUU